GACGAACGCUGGCGGCGUGCCUAAUACAUGCAAGUCGAGCGGACUUUCAAGAAGCUUGCUUUUUGAAAGUUAGCGGCGGACGGGUGAGUAACACGUGGGCAACCUGCCUGCAAGACGGGGAUAACUCCGGGAAACCGGGGCUAAUACCGGAUAAUAUCUUCCUUCGCAUGAAGGAAGGUUGAAAGGCGGCGCACGCUGCCGCUUGCAGAUGGGCCCGCGGCGCAUUAGCUAGUUGGUGCGGUAACGGCUCACCAAGGCGACGAUGCGUAGCCGACCUGAGAGGGGGAUCGGCCACACUGGGACUGGGACACGGCCCAGACUCCUACGGGAGGCAGCAGUAGGGAAUCUUCCGCAAUGGACGAAAGUCUGACGGAGCAACGCCGCGUGAGCGAAGAAGGUCUUCGGAUCGUAAAGCUCUGUUGUCAGGGAAGAACAAGUACCGUUCGAACAGGGCGGUACCUUGACGUUACCUGACCAGAAAGCCACGGCUAACUACGUG
rnacentral:rRNA from 1 species